AGCGAACGCUGGCGGCAGGCCUAACACAUGCAAGUCGAACGAGAAGCCAUCUUCGGGUGGUGGACAGUGGCAGACGGGUGAGUAACGCGUGGGAACGUGCCUUUCGGUUCGGAAUAACCCAGGGAAACUUGGGCUAAUACCGGAUACGCCCUUCGGGGGAAAGAUUCAUUGCCGAAGGAGCGGCCCGCGUCGGAUUACCUAGUUGGGGGGGUAAUGGCUCACCAAGGCGACGAUCCGUAGCUGGUCUGAGAGGAUGACCAGCCACACUGGGACUGAGACACGGACAAGACUCCUACGGGAGGCAGCAGUGGGGAAUAUUGGACAAUGGGCGAAAGCCUGAUCCAGCCAUGCCGCGUGGGUGAAGAAGGCCUUAGGGUUGUAAACCCCUUUCAGCGGGGAAGAUAAUGACGGUACCCGCAGAAGAAGUCCCGGCUAACUCCGUGCCAGCCGCCGCCGUAAUAC
rnacentral:rRNA from 1 species